GGAGAAUUACUCAAGAGGCUGAAGAGGACGGUUUGCUAAAUCGUUAGGUCGGGUAACUGGCGCGGGGGUUCGAAUCCCCCAUUCUCCG
rfam:Streptococcus intermedius B196, complete genome.